CUUUGUUUCCGGUAACCAAUGUGACAUAUUGUAGAAUAAAUAUCGAGAAUGAAGUUAUCACGGAACUAGAAUGACAUUUCCAGCAUAUGGACCAUAAGGUACAGAACAAGUAGCAAACACUCGGUGGCACAACAAUAAAAAGACCCCAGGAAGAGUAGGUGCUGCCUCUGCAAAAGCUAAUGGGGAUUCUAAUAAACAAAUAUGCUGACUCCAAAUCCAGGAAGGAUACGCAGUCAGAAAGAUGCUUACAGGAGGCGCUCCUUAUCUGAUGACUAGACUGCUCUGGUAAAACUGUAGUUAACCUAGAGCAGUGGUCAACAACCUUUUCUGAGUCAAGGAAACUGCAGACACAGUGAUCUGAGCUAUCUGAUUGGACAGCGGUAGUUCUAUAGGUGCACUUGAUUUGCUCUUUGGGCCUGCCUGGUAGGUGGAGUUCUAUCUUCUAGGGCUGCUUAAUCAAGUGCACCUACCAUCAUCGGUGUGAAAUGAAGAAAAAAAAUAGGAAGGCAAGGCUUUAUCACUUUUUUUUACAGAAAUGUUUGGUGAUCGACUAGGAAUGCCUUGGAGAUUGACCAUUCGAUCGCGAUUGACCGGUUGGUGUAGAGGAGGCAGGCCAGCAACUGGAGGGUUGCUGGUUUGAAGCCCUUGUCUGUCAAGAAAGAUGCAUGGCUAGAAAUCUUUAACAUUUUAACAAUUUUCCUGCAAUUCUACACUUUAUUAAAGGUGCAAUAUGCAGAAAUACCUAUUUCCUGGUUGCUAAAAUUCUAGUAGUUCACCUAAUUUCAGUUUGUGACUAAACAAGCAAUGUUUAGUGUAGAGAAUAAUCUAAACCAUUGUGAAAUAUAUGUUUAUUAAACCAAAAUAUAUUGUGUUUUCAGAUGUUUGAAGCAUGUGUACAAAGCAAUGUUUGUCAGACCAUGAGACAUCCCAAAAAGUAUUCUCACAAAACCGUCAGUAGUCUGAAUGGUUUGGCCUACAAAUUAUUAGGACCCCUCUAUGGAAAGAUGAGACUCUCAUGUUCUCCAUUUUGCUUGGGACGUCUUGGGUUGGUACAGCCGAUCUGCCAACCUCUGUCUAUAGCGUUUGAACAGUUUUGGCUACAGACUAAUAUGAAAGGUGGAAAGGUUAGACCUCGGUGGAAAGGUGAGACUCACGAACACUUACAUGUUGGUUGAUUUGCUCUGCUCUAGGACGCUCACAAGACUCGUCUGAAGGUCCCCGGUACCAGAUUUAAAAAAUGAAUGGAAGUAUAUAUGGAGACUGUUUAGCGGCAAAACAAAAUGUACCAACCAGUUGUUACUGGAGUACAUGAAGAUGAGUGAGAUUUUCAGGGAAGGGGGCGUUAGAGGAGACACAUCAUACUCAUCGUCGCCAUCUCGAACACACAGGUUGCAAUCAAGCGGAUGACUUUUGGUAAGUCGGUGACCAUCACCAAAUCGAAGUGUGUUGCAUUAUGGGGAUCAAAAUUAUCUGACUUUCGCCUACAUGUCGACUGCAUUAACUUAAACUUUUUUGCAGUUACCCUUCACCAACUUCAUCCUGCAGCAAUAGCCUGCAUGGUGGGAGGCUCUAUUGUCAACCAAUCAUUAGCUGUUUUUUACUCACCCAAACGUGACCAAAGACAUGACUGAAACAGUAAGCAACUUUGCUAUGAUUCAUACAGAUCUAUACAAAUUAAUGUUAUGUUUCAGGCACUCUCUCACUAAUUGAUUGUACACUCAUGGUUUCAGUUUGUGAGUGUGUGAUAUGGGGGUUGGAAACAUGUUUAUUUCCACAGUAUAAAGAAACUUUUUAUAAACAACGGCAACUCUUCCAUGUUGGUCUGAGCCUUGCUAGUGUCUGACUUUCGGCUUUUACAGUAGAUGUCACAUUGGAAUUAGCGACGUAGUGACUCUGGAUUCACUUUCUAUACCUUUUGGUCGGUCAGAUAUAUUAAUUGUGCUACUGUUUACUUACUGAAAGACCUUAAAGAGGAGCGAUAUUAGAGUAAUCAUUUUGUUUUCUGUGAAUGUAAUAUUUUAUUCCUAAUUUAUUUAUUUCAGCUCAGUGGAAAGCUUCUUUGGACCCCAUUUUUUUUAUUGUAAUAUCCUUAGUGAUGUGCUCCCUCUGCUGGUACAAAACGUGAUGUUGGUUCUCUGGGACCAGCAACUGUGUAUGAUACUGACAGUACAUCUUACUUUUACUAUGGAGAACAUGGAGCAUUUUUUUGUUUUUGAAUUGUACAUUUAGUACGUGGUAAAUUUCCAUGUGCCACUCCGGCCUCCCAGAUUGGCUCGCUUGUAGGCGUGCUUGCAGCAUGUUUGAUUGUGCGUCAAGAAUUCAGCAUAGCAAGUUUGCAUGAAGGUCUAGUUAUUAAAUGGUUACAUAGUUUCAUACAUUUUCUGUUUAAUGUAUUUAUUCCCAGGUAAAUAGUAAUAUGCUCUAACCGCUCUGGUGACAAACAAACUUUGGCAACCAGGCAAUCCUCCACAUGGCUGGAAGACCCUAUUUUCUCAGUAACAGUCUCUCUUCUUCACUUCAUCCUCUCGGUUAUAUCAGCUGUGUCGGUAAACCCCUCCCGCAUCUGAACAGGCUACAUAGACGGCACAGCAUGAUCAGAGGUGAGAGGUCAGUUGGUCGGGUCAACAGGAAGUACUAUUAAAGAGAUGUUUUACAUUGAAAUACAGAUAGAAAUGUGGAAGUCCCAGAGUUAAUGAUCCAAGGUCAGUUUGUCAUUUCACCUCCUGAUUUUUAUGAUGACUGGCAGUAUUAGAAUAGAAAAAACAAGACAUAAUCAUGCUUUGUCUCUCAUUUCCAGGUAUGUUUUGUUGUGAGACAGGAUGCCAAUCCCAAGUACCGUCACCACCUCCGCCGCUCUUAAGAGCACCUUCGGGCCAUCUAGGGGCCCAAGGCUAGUUAGGAGAAACCACUAGAGACACUAUGUCAUUGUGAUUAACUGCGAUAAUAUUCUCUAUUCACAUUCUCUACUGGCUGAAAUUAAGUCUCAUUUGA